rnacentral:rRNA from 1 species
AGAGUUUGAUCCUGGCUCAGACACAUGCAAGUCGAGCGAUGAAGUUCCUUCGGGAAAUGGAUUAGCGGCGGACGGGUGAGUAACACGUGGGUAACCUGCCUUAUAGUGGGGGAUAGCCUUUCGAAAGGAAGAUUAAUACCGCAUAAGAUUGUAGUAUCGCAUGAUAUAGCAAUUAAAGGAGCAAUUCGCUAUAAGAUGGACCCGCGUCGCAUUAGCUAGUUGGUGAGGUAAUGGCUCACCAAGGCGACGAUGCGUAGCCGACCUGAGAGGGUGAUCGGCCACAUUGGGACUGAGACACGGCCCAGACUCCUACGGGAGGCAGCAGUGGGGAAUAUUGCACAAUGGGCGAAAGCCUGAUGCAGCAACGCCGCGUGAGUGAUGACGGCCUUCGGGUUGUAAAACUCUGUCUU